rnacentral:tRNA from 1 species
GGUGCUCAAUGGUAGAGCACUUGCCUUGCAUGCAUGAAGCCCUGGGUUCAAUUGCUCAGCACCA